GACGUAGGGCGCGAGCGUUUGUCCGGAUUUAUUGGGCGUAAAGAGCUCGUAGGCGGCUUGUUGCGUCAGCUGUGAAACCCGAGGCUCAACCUCGGGCCUGCAGCCGAUACGGGCAGACUAGAGUUCGGCAGGGGAGACUGGAAUUCCUGGUGUAGCGGUGAAAUGCGCAGAUAGUCAGGAGGAACACCGGUGGCGAAGGCGGGUCUCUGGGCCGGAAUACUGACGCUGGAGGAGCGAAAGCGUGGGAGCGAACAGG
rnacentral:rRNA from 1 species